AUUGAACGCUGGCGGCAGGCCUAACACAUGCAAGUCGAACGAGUGGCGGACGGGUGAGUAAUGUCUGGGAAACUGCCUGAUGGAUGGGGAUAACUACUGGAAACGGUAGCUAAUACCGCAUACCAUCGGAUGUGCCCAGAUGGGAUUAGCUUGUUGGUGGGGUAACGGCGCACCAAGGCGACGGUCCCUAGCUGGUCUGAGAGGAUGACCAGCAACACGGGGACGGAGACACGGUCCAAACUCCUACGGGCGGCAGCAGGGGGGAAUAUUGGCCAAGUGGCGCAAGGCUGAUGGACCCAUGCCGCGAGUAUGAAGAAGGCCUUCGGGUUGUAAAGUACUUUCAGUGGGGAGGCGGUACCCGCAGAAGAAGCACCGGCUAACUCCGUGCCAGCAGCCGCGGUAAUUC
rnacentral:rRNA from 1 species